rnacentral:misc_RNA from 1 species
UACGGAGGGUGCGAGCGUUAAUAGUACUUACUGGGCGUAAAGCGCGCGUCGGCGGUUUGUUAAGCGAGAUGUGAAAGCCCCGGGCUUAACCUGGGAACUGCAUUUCGAACUGGCAGGCUAGAGUGUAGAAGAGGGGUGUGGAAUUUCCGGUGUAGCGGUGAAAUGCGUAGAGAUCGGAAGGAACAUCAGUGGCGAAGGCGACACCCUGGUCUAACACUGACGCUGAGGUGCGAAAGCGUGGGUAGCAAACAGG